rnacentral:rRNA from 1 species
AUACGGAGGGGGCAAGCGUUGUUCGGAAUUACUGGGCGUAAAGCGCGCGUAGGCGGGCUGGUUAGUUGGGGGUGAAAUCCCAGGGCUUAACCCUGGAACUGCCUCCAAUACUGCCAGUCUAGAGUUCGAGAGAGGUGAGUGGAAUUCCUAGUGUAGAGGUGAAAUUCGUAGAUAUUAGGAAGAACACCAGUGGCGAAGGCGGCUCACUGGCUCGAUACUGACGCUGAGGUGCGAAAGCGUGGGGAGCAAACAGGAUUAGAAACCCCAGUAGUCC